rnacentral:rRNA from 1 species
UGAGGAAUAUUGGUCAAUGGGAGAGAUCCUGAACCAGCCAAGCCGCGUGAGGGAAGACGGCACUACGUGUUGUAAACCUCUUUUGCCGGGGAACAAAGCGGGACGCGUCCCCGUCCGCGUGUACCCGGAGAAAAAGCAUCGGCUAACUCCGUGCC